UACGGAGGAUGCGAGCGUUAUCCGGAUUUAUUGGGUUUAAAGGGAGCGUAGGUGGGCUGUUAAGUCAGCUGUGAAAGUUUGCGGCCCAACCGUAAAAUUGCAGUUGAUACUGUCAGUCUUGAGUACAGUAGAGGUUAGCGGAAUUCGUGGUGUAGCGGUGAAAUGCUUAGAUAUCACGAAGAACUCCAAUUGCGAAGGCAGCUGACUAGACUGUUACUGACACUGAUGCUCGAAAGUGUGGGUAUCAAACAGGAUUAGAUACCCUGGUAGUCCACACAGUAAACGAUGAAUACUCGCUGUUUGCGAUAUACAGUAAGCGGCCAAGCGAAAGCGUUAAGUAUUCCACCUGGGGAGUACGCCGGCAACGGUGAAACUCAAAGGAAUUGACGGGGGCCCGCACAAGCGGAGGAACAUGUGGUUUAAUUCGAUGAUACGCGAGGAACCUUACCCGGGCUUAAAUUGCAAAUGAAUAUAGUUGAAAGAUUAUAGCCGCAAGGCAUUUGUGAAGGUGCUGCAUGGUUGUCGUCAGCUCAUGCCGUGAGGUGUCGGCUUAAGUGCCAUAACGAGCGCAACCCUUAUCUUUAGUUACUAACAGGUCAUGCUGAGGACUCUAGAGAGACUGCCGUCGUAAGAUGUGAGGAAGGUGGGGAUGACGUCAAAUCAGCACGGCCCUUACGUCCGGGGCUACACACGUGUUACAAUGGGAGGUACAACAGGCAGCUACACGGCGACGUGAUGCUAAUCCCCAAAACCUCUCUCAGUUCGGAUUGGAGUCUGCAACCCGACUCCAUGAAGCUGGAUUCGCUAGUAAUCGCGCAUCAGCCACGGCGCGGUGAAUACGUUCCCGGGCCU
rnacentral:rRNA from 1 species